GAGAUUGCAACAAUCAAAAAUAGAUUGGCACAGCAUGAAUCUGAAAUUGAGAACAUCGAGAACCACUCAUUGAGGCAAAGGUUCCAAGAGAUAUCUAGUCGCCUAUACCAAGAACAAUCUGACAAGGAACGCGAACAAGUCGAACUGAACGAGCUUUUAAAGCAGAUCAUAUAAAUAUUUUCUUUUAUUUUUCUACAUCUUGUUCAUUUUGAUCAUGUACUUAUUUUUAUUAUAUAUUACAUUGUUUUCCAUUCUACAUUUUUUUUCGAACUGCUAUCUCACGUUCGUACAUCGAUAGGAAACCUAUAGGAAACGUAAGACCUUCGCUAAUACAAUCAUAAAUUGCAAGUUUUCUCGCCAUCAAUAGGCUUCAACUUUGCGCAUUGAUUUUCAGCAGAUGUUGAUUAUCGCUGUCGAAAGAGUUGCAGCCUCGUUACAUAAUGUUAUUAAUUGCCUGUGAUUGACUAGGCCAGAUGGUGUCGUUCACAUUGUUUGCAAUCGACAACUAAUUUAACUUAAACAUAAAGUUCGCCAAUAUUCGAAGAAACGUCUUGGACAAAUCGAAUAAAUGUUUUAUUAUGAAACAGUCGCCAAAGACGUUGUUCUUUGAUUACCUUCCCACUCGAAGGUUGCAUUCGUUGAGUGUAUAAUUUACGCAUUGAUUACUUUCUGCGUGGUCGACUGGCCGUCUGCUAAAGGUCCUUGGAGCAUUCGCUACAAAAUGCAUCUUCAGAUGACUAACUGUACAUACUACGUGCACAUUUAAAUAAUGCACGUGAUCGAGAUUUUGAGGAUAAGAUUAAAUUUGAUAAAACUCUUGUCAGCAAGGAAACACAUCAUAAUAGAUAUGUGAUAGUGUUCUAUUCGGUAGUGAAUAUUGGUUACAAAGCAAUGAUUCGUGGGUCCAUUGAAGAGUAUAGGGAGGAAAAUGUGCGACAAAGGUUUCCCAGGAAUCGAAGACCAAAUGUCCCAUAUAGUUCGACUCCUAGUUUACCACAAAAUUCGCCUACCUUACGACAGCGAUUUGCCCAAUUCGCAAUAAACUUCUUCAAGAAAGAUUGCAAAAGCAACAAAAAGAAAAUAGAUUAACUUAACACAACAA